rnacentral:rRNA from 1 species
UACGGAGGGUGCAAGCGUGAUCCGGGAUUACUGGGUUUAAAGGGUGCGUAGGCGGCUGUGUAAGUCAGAGGUGAAAUCCUGCAGCUUAACUGUAGAAUUGCCUUUGAUACUGCGUAGCUUGAAACAAGUUGAGGUUAGCGGAAUGUGACAUGAAGCGGUGAAAUGCAUAGAUAUGUCAUAGUACACCAAUUGCGAAGGCAGCUGACUGGGCUUGAUUUGACGCUGAGGCACGAAAGCGUGGGGAGCGAGCAGG